UAAUGCNAGUCGAGCGGUAACAGAAAGUAGCUUGCUACUUUGCUGACGAGCGGCGGACGGGUGAGUAAUGCUUGGGAACAUGCCUUGAGGUGGGGGACAACAGUUGGAAACGACUGCUAAUACCGCAUAAUGUCUACGGACCAAAGGGGGCUUCNGCUCUCGCCUUUANAUUGGCCCAAGUGGGAUUANCUANUUGGUGAGGUAAUGGCUCACCAAGGCGACGAUCCCUAGCUGGUUUGAGAGGAUGAUCANCCACACUGGGACUGAGACACGGCCCAGACUCCUACNGGAGGCAGCNUUGGGGAAUAUUGCACAAUGGGCGCAAGCCUGAUG
rnacentral:rRNA from 1 species